rnacentral:rRNA from 1 species
ACCAGUGGCGAAGGCGGCUACCUGGUGUGCAACUGACGCUGAGACUCGAAAGCAUGGGUAGCGAACAGGAUUAGAUACCCUGGUAGUCCAUGCCGUAAACGAUGAGUGCUAGGUGUUGGAGGGUUUCCGCCCUUCAGUGCCGGAGCUAACGCAUUAAGCACUCCGCCUGGGGAGUACGACCGCAAGGUUGAAACUCAAAGGAAUUGACGGGGGCCCGCACAAGCGGUGGAGCAUGUGGUUUAAUUCGAAGCUACGCGAAGAACCUUACCAGGUCUUGACAUCUUGCGCCAACCCUAGAGAUAGGGCGUUUCCUUCGGGAACGCAAUGACAGGUGGUGCAUGGUCGUCGUCAGCUCGUGUCGUGAGAUGUUGGGUUAAGUCCCGCAACGAGCGCAACCCUUGUUACUAGUUGCCAGCAUUAAGUUGGGCACUCUAGUGAGACUGCCGGUGACAAACCGGAGGAAGGUGGGGACGACGUCAGAUCAUCAUGCCCCUUAUGACCUGGGCUACACACGUGCUACAAUGGACGGUACAACGAGUCGCGAACUCGCGAGGGCAAGCAAAUCUCUUAAAACCGUUCUCAGUUCGGAC